GCUUAUGGCUAUACCAGCUGAAGAACGCCCAAUCUCGUCUGAUCUUGGAAGCUAAGGAGGGUUGGGCCUGGUUAGUACUUGGUUGGGAGACUGCCUGGGAAUACCAGGCGCUGUAAACU
ensembl:rRNA 5S_rRNA 5S ribosomal RNA